GACGAACGCUGGCGGCGUGCUUAACACAUGCAAGUCGAACGGAAAGGCCCUGCUUCUGUGGGGUGCUCGAGUGGCGAACGGGUGAGUAACACGUGAGUAACCUGCCCUUGACUUUGGGAUAACUUCAGGAAACUGGGGCUAAUACCGGAUAGGAGCUCCUGCUGCAUGGUGGGGGUUGGAAAGUUUCGGCGGUUGGGGAUGGACUCGCGGCUUAUCAGCUUGUUGGUGGGGUAGUGGCUUACCAAGGCUUUGACGGGUAGCCGGCCUGAGAGGGUGACCGGCCACAUUGGGACUGCGAUACGGCCCAGACUCCUACGGGAGGCAGCAGUGGGGAAUAUUGCACAAUGGGCGGAAGCCUGAUGCAGCAAAGCCGCGUGCGGGAUGACGGCCUUCGGGUUGUAAACCGCUUUCGCCUGUGACGAAGCGUGAGUGACGGUAAUGGGUAAAGAAGCACCGGCUAACUACGUG
rnacentral:rRNA from 1 species